UCAAUCAAUCAGACCAACUGCUCCAAUCCAGUUCAACAGAUUGCACGAACGUCUGCUUACCACCAACCAUAUCUGCUUUGCUCGACCAAGGGAGCGUGUGAGCAAGAUUAUAGGUGUUGUACAUAGUUAACUGUAACAAGUAGUCUAACCGCUACCCACGGAUUCGCGUGAGCCGUUUGCGGUGAGUUUCAUGUUUAUAAGGUGGUAGAUGAGAGAGGUUGCAUCAAUUAAAAUUAGCAACUUCAAAAGUUCAUCUCUGUCUCACUCUUUUCCCCAUAUCCUCCUGAAUCAUAAAUACCAGCACUGAAAGCAAUUUCUGUUCUAUAUUUAAGAGAUUCAAGUUUCUUUUACGGCUAGUGUACAAGGCGAAAUUCUGAGCAUGUUUUCUCCGGCACAGAUACAAGAGUAUUGAAUUCAUAUAUGAGAUAUGACAUACCGCCAAUAGCAUGUAUUUGAAAGCAGAAAGUCCCUUUUGACGCAUAUUGUUCGUAUAGUUCAUUCAGAACAUCACCAUGGUUUGGACGCCGGAGAGGAGACAACUUUCAACGCCGGAGUGCAGAGAAGAUGAUACGCACGUUAGGGAUUUUGACUGGGCCGAAGCUUGAUUGGGAGCAGAGGAGACAAUUUUUAUCUAUUUUUGAAAUGGGCCGAAGCUUUUUUGAAAGCAGUUUACAGAAGGAUCCCAUUUUGUGAAUGAUUUUGGUAAAAUGACAUCAUUUGGCAAAGAGCAAUAUUGUCUCAAUGACUCAUCCUUCCUUUAACGACAAAUUUGCAUGUUGCAGAAGGACCUUACAUGUGUCGCCCUCGUGAUUUAGAUGCCGUUCAUUUCAUUUUAGGAUUAUUUA